UACAGAGGUCCCAAGCGUUGUUCGGAUUCAUUGGGCGUAAAGGGUGCGUAGGCGGCGCGGUAAGUCGGGUGUGAAAUCUCGGAGCUUAACUCCGAAACUGCAUUCGAUACUGCCGUGCUUGAGGACUGGAGAGGAGACUGGAAUUUACGGUGUAGCGGUGAAAUGCGUAGAUAUCAUAAGGAACACCGGUGGCGAAGGCGGUUACCUGGAAGAUUCCUGACUCUGAAACACGAAAGCCAGGGGAGCAAACGGG
rnacentral:rRNA from 1 species